GCGCCCAAAUUCCCGCGACAUUUCAACCAAAUUUUGUCAUAGGAUUCUUUUCCCUUUACUGGAACCCUAGCUGCAUCUUUGCCUAUAAUUUUUCUACUUCGUGUUAUUUCGACUCAAAGCUGUAACAAAACCCACAAACGGAAUUUCAUAGUUCAUACCAUUCACCACCAAAAGAUAAUUUUCUCUCACCAAACUCUACCCUAAACCGAAACCCCAUCUUCGAAUCUUCAUUUGAAUGAUUUUUGUUCGAGAAAAAGAAAUCAUCGUCAACAACAACGAGUUUCUUCCCAUUAAAAACCCACAAAAGGAUUCCCCUCAUAAACAUAGAAUCCACAUCAAAGCUUUAGGGCAUGUUGGUGACUGAAUUAUGAUUUCCCAGUCAAAUCUUUAACCUCAUAUUAGUGAUCAGUAUGCGGUAAUCUGUAUAACCCGUAAAACGGUUCAUAGUCAAAUCAUUUACAAAUUACAAUUUUUCGAUCUAAUUAAGGAAAUUAGAGUUCAUCGGAUUGUAACUGCACAAAUCUAUUAAUCUGGCGUGAGUUUUUGUUCGUUUGAAGGAUUUGGACGUUUGGGUAUCCAUCAGCAACUGGAAGUCUGAAAUAAUCACCAGUUUGUGUAGUUAUCGUGGUGAAAAAGAUGGGGCUCUGGUUUGAACUAAGAAAUCUGCGUGUAAAAUAAUGGAGUACGAUGAAGCAAUCAAGUUGAUGGAGAAGGACGGAUCGUUGUUUAGUCAACUGGUGAAAGAAUAUUGGUCACAUGUCCAUUCUGCAGGAGGGUAGGCCAAUGAUAUUCUCUAUGAGCAACAAAAUAAAAGGGAGAGGGGCAUGGAGCUCACAAAAACUGCACUAGUUGACACUCACAAAAUAGUCUCGACGAAAACCAUUACCGACAAAGUAUGCAGAGAAGGCUUCUCUAAGAGUCGCAAGCAAGUUGAAUUUAUGUAUUCUCCCCUUUCAGGAGGAUCCAAUCUUUAAGCAGGAGUGUUCUUUUGAUAACCCCUUUUAUGGGUAAUGUUUUUGUACAAGAACUAUAUGCAAUUUUGUUGUAAUUCUUGAAAAUACUUUGCUGAACAAUUAGCUUUUUCACUGUUGAAAGGGUCAGUUGCCAACAAUGGAGAAGGCAAGGAUACGGAAGAACUUGGGUUUUACUUUUGAAAUUAUUGAGUGUUAAUAGUUUCAGAUUUUGACUGGAAUGAUAUGCGUUGUUGAAUUUGUAAAAGAGUUCGGUUUAUAUUACUGUCGAUUUAGUCGACUCAUGUAAAAAAAUUUAUAGUUUGUGCAUCCAAGCAUUUGAUCAUA